rnacentral:rRNA from 1 species
UUCCGGUUGAUCCUGCCGGAGGCUACCGCUAUUGGAGUUCGAUUAAGCCAUGCGAGUCGCGAGUCUUAGGGACUCGGCGUACCGCUCAGUAACACGUGGGUAACCUGCCCUAUGCUGGGGGAUAACCUCGGGAAACUGAGAAUAAUACCCCAUAGUUCACCACGCCUGGAACGGUGGGUGGAUGAAAGCUCCGGCGGCAUAGGAUGGGCCUGCGGCGUAUCAGGUUGUAGGGGGUGUAAUGUACCCUCUAGCCAUCUACGCGUACGGGUGUUGGGAGACAUCGCCCGGAGAUGGAUUCUGAGACACGAAUCCAGACCCUACGGGGUGCAGCAGGCGCGAAAACUUGGCAAUGCGAGCAAUCGUGACCAGGGAACUCCAAGUGCAUCGGGUAAGACCGAUGCUUUUCUUGACUCUUCAAAGGUCUUGGAAUAAGGGGUGGGUAAGGACGGUGCCAGCCGCCGCGGUAAUACCGGCGCCUCAAGUGGUAGUCGCUUUUAUUGGGCCUAAAACGUCCGUAGCCGGUUUGGUACAUUCGUGGGUAAAUCAAGGCGCUCAACGUCUUGAAUUCUGCGAGCACGGCCAGACUUGGGACCGGGUGAGGUGUGGGGUACUCUCAGGGUAGGGGUAAAAUCCUGUCAUCCUGAGAGGACCACCUGUUGCGAAGGCGCCACACUAGAACGGAUCCGACGGUCAGGGACGAAGCCUAGGGGCACGAACCGGAUUAGAUACCCGGGUAGUCCUAGGUGUAAACGCUGUGGACUUGAUGUUGGGAGUGCUCCGAGCACCCUCAGUGUCGAAGCGAAGGUGAUAAGUCCACUGCCUGGGGAGUACGGUCGCAAGGCUGAAACUUAAAGGAAUUGGCGGGGGAGCACUGCAACCUGAGGAUUGUGCGGUUUAAUUGGAGUCAACGCCGGA